rnacentral:tRNA from 1 species
GCUCCCAUGGCUCAGUUGGUAGAGUAGCUCACUCGUAAUGAGCAGGUCGCCGGUUCGAGUCCGGCUGGGAGCU